UGGGAUAGGUUAUCCCAGUUUCAGAAAAUAUUCUAUUUCCUUGGGAAAAACACUUUACAUAACUUUAUUGUUUUAGCCUAACCAGUAACCUGGGAUGUCCAAGUCCAUCCUACCCAGUGGGGAGGCUGGGAGUACAACAAAACAUGGAGAAUUUCUGGGAAAGCCCUGGAGAAGAAACAAGGCUCCAGCUUUGCAGGCUUUGGGCUAUCCAGUUGUGGAUGUGGAUUAGGCAGAGCACCUUGGAAGCUGAGCUCAAUGUGGAAUUGGAGCAGUUUUGGAAGCACCAUGGAUACUCCCAAGGUUUGGUGUGAGGAGCUGAAUCUUGGGAGGGAUUGGGAUUUUGUGCUGUUUUGCUUUUGGGUUUUUUUGUUUGGUUGGCUGGGGGUUUUUUAAUUUUUUUUUUUUUUUGGUCAUUUUUUGCCUUUUGGGCCACCACAGAGGAAAAGCUGGAAACCAAACCAACUGAAGGGAAU
rnacentral:lncRNA from 1 species